UACGUAGGGGGCAAGCGUUGUCCGGAAUCAUUGGGCGUAAAGCGCGCGUAGGCGGCCCGGUAAGUCCGUUGUGAAAGUCAAAGGCUCAACCUUUGAACGCCGAUGGAUACUGCCGGGCUAGAGUCCGGAAGAGGCGAGUGGAAUUCCUGGUGUAGCGGUGGAAUGCGCAGAUAUCAGGAGGAACACCAAUAGCGAAGGCAGCUCACUGGGACGUUACUGACACUGAGGCGCGAAAGCGUGGGGAGCGAACAGG
rnacentral:rRNA from 1 species